rnacentral:rRNA from 1 species
CCUCGGGGGGCAGCAGUGGGGAAUAUUGGACAAUGGGCGAAAGCCUGAUCCAGCCAUGCCGCGUGUGUGAAGAAGGCCUUCGGGUUGUAAAGCACUUUCAGUGGGGAAGAAAGCCUUGGGGCUAAUACCCUCGAGGAAGGACAUCACCCACAGAAGAAGCACCGGCUAACUCCGUGCCAGCAGCCGCGGUAAUACGGAGGGUGCGAGCGUUAAUCGGAAUUACUGGGCGUAAAGCGCGCGUAGGCGGUCUGAUAAGCCGGUUGUGAAAGCCCCGGGCUCAACCUGGGAACGGCAUCCGGAACUGUCAGGCUAGAGUGCAGUAGAGGAAGGUAGAAUUCCCGGUGUAGCGGUGAAAUGCGUAGAGAUCUGGAGGAAUACCAGUGGCGAAGGCGGCCUUCUGGACUGACACUGACGCUGAGGUGCGAAAGCGUGGGUAGCAAACAGGAUUAGAUACCCCAGUAGUC